rnacentral:lncRNA from 1 species
GUCGCCUGCGGGUGAGGCUGGACCGGUGAGGAUGUGGAGCCCUCGCCUGAUUGAUGGGAGGAAAAGCAAGUCUCUGGGGCCUGUCUGGGGCCUCAGGUGUGAGUCAGGUGUGGCUUUGAUCUGCUGUCACCUGUCCCUGGGAGGAAGACCUGCCAUUGAAAGGAAGAGCUCUGCAGCAGUUUGUGUUACUGGGCCAGCCUCCCUUCCAUCCUCUCCCGCACCGGGUCCAACACAGGCCCAGGCUGGAUGUCUGUCCUUCACAGUGCCCUCU